rnacentral:rRNA from 1 species
GUGCAGUAAUGCAUUGAGCUGACCAGUACUAAUAGACCGUGUGACUUGACCCU